CUAAAGCUUGCAGAUGUUUGCUCGUGUCUCUGUCCCGUCCCGCGGGCAUUUGUACCUAUAGGAUCUCGGGACCGCUGCCAGUGUUGCAGAGCGGGAGAGUUGUGAGAAGAGAUGCUGCAGCCGCCAAAGCGCUGCGCCUGCAGACAUGUCAAACACAAGGUCCGGGAGCCGGAUGAGUAGAUGAAGAAUAUGGAAUAUAAGUGGAUCAUUUGCAAGGGAGGAGGAGGGGGAACCCAGGCAUAUUACACGCAGCAGCAACACCACAAUCUGACCAACCACUUGAUCUGCUCCGUCUCUGUUGGGGUCCCCAGAUCUGCUGACACAAACAUCUUCAGGGCCUUGCAGAAAAGCAACAAGGCAUUUGCAGCUUGACAUGAUGAUGCAAAAAUAAUAUAUAUCAGAGAAUUGUACCGCAAACUUCACCCUUUUGGACUUGGACCCCAACAUUGGAUGCAAGUAUAGAAUCCUGGCUUAUUUUGAUAAAAUGAUUGACGAGAUCUAUCCGCUUGCAAGCAAAGAGGGCUCUGGCCAGCUUCCCUACAGUUGCCCCUUUGCUGCCUUCCUUCAUCAGCCACCUCUGGAACAUCUGAAAGAACCUGGAGUCAGGAAAGAAUUCCCAUCAUGUGGAGGUACCCUCUGAAACACAGAUCAGACAUUGUGUGAAGAUGCUUUGUGUGAUGUUUUAAAUAAGAUGGUUGGCAAGAUGUGUGGUAAGCAAACAUGUUGUGUGACUAGCUGGUUGUGACCAAGGAUCCCUUCACAAACUUUGAAGCUGGAAAGGGUGUUUCUGAACUUUUUUCUAGUGAUAUGGUUUACUAAAUUUUUGGCCACCAGAUAAGGGCUGCAAAAUUCUGGACAACUGUAGAUUGGAAACGGAAGGCUGAAUUUUCUGUACCUCUUUACUGUCAUUUUGUGGUCAUUAGAGGCCAGAGAAGGCAGCUUUACUAAAUUUGAAUCAUGGCCGGCCGGCCUGCCUGCAAGUACCACAGGCUUAUAUAGGACGGUCCCUUUAACCAUUCCAUCUAACAAGACCAUGACUAUCAGUUUUUUGAACUUAAGUCCCUCCAUUAAGAUUUACUUCCAACACUUCACUAUAUUAAAGCUAUAUAUAGCUUGCCUUGGAGUAAAUUCAUUUAACUCAGUGGUUCUCAACCUGUGGGUCAGGACCCCAUUUGGGGUCGAACGACCAUUUCACGGGGGUCGCCAAACAACGCAGUCCGCCAUUUUUUCCUCCUUUUCCUUAGCUG